ncrna:unclassified sequences malK-I RNA
CGGCAGGGCACCGCUCACUCCACAACAUGAACGGCAGCCGGCUGCAGAAAAAGGAGGAACUCAUGCCCCCAGCCAGGGGUGCGGCAGUGUGGAGACCUGCCGCAAAGCGCGGCCGACGUAUGCGCGGCGCGUGAGGCGGCUCGUUGAAGGAGUUCGGGGCCGCUAUGGCAAAACACUAUGGCA